rnacentral:rRNA from 1 species
UGACGAAGAGACGCUAAGGCGUUGAAGCAGUGUACGUCAGACUUCCAAGAAAAGCUCGCAGUGUCAUAAGUAAAAAAUGCCUGUACCAUAACCGACACAGGUGGGUAGGUAGAGUAUACUAAGGGGCGCGAGAUAACUCUCUCUAAGGAACUCGGCAAAAUGACUCCGUAACUUCGGGAGAAGGAGUGCCUUAUUUAUAAGGUUGCAAUAACAAGAUCCAAGCAACUGUUUAUCAAAAACACAGGUCUCCGCUAAGUCGUAAGACGAUGUAUGGGGGCUGACGCCUGCCCAGUGCCAGAAGGUUAAAGAAGUUGGUUAGUGUAUGCGAAGCUGAUGACUGAAGCCCUGGUGAACGGCGGCCGUAACAAUAACGGUCCUAAGGUAGCGAAAUUCCUUGUCGGGUAAGUUCCGACCCGCACGAAAGGCGUAAUGAUUUGGAUACUGUCUCGGAGAGAGGCUCGGUGAAAUAGACUUGUCUGUGAAGAUGCGGACUACCUGCACCAGGACAGAAAGACCCUAUGAAGCUUUACUGUAACUUGAAAUUGGAAUUGGACUUUGCUUGCGCAGUAUAGGUGGGAAGCGUUGAAGAUAUUCUUGCGGGAGUAUUGGAGCUAUCAGUGAGAUACCACUCUUGUAAUGUUAGAUUUCUAACUUUGAACCAUAAUCUGGUCAAAGAACAGUUUCAGGUGGGCAGUUUGACUGGGGCGGUCGCCUCCCAAAUGGUAACGGAGGCGUACAAAGGUUUCCUCUGAACGGAUAGAAAUCGUAUCUAGAGUGUAAAGGCAUAAGGAAGCUUGACUGUGAGACCUACAAGUCGAGCAGGGACGAAAGUCGGUCUUAGUGAUCUGACGGUACUGAGUGGAAAGGCCGUCACUCAACGGAUAAAAGUUACUCUAAGGAUAACAGGCUGAUCUCCCCCAAGAGUUCACAUCGACGGGGAGGUUUGGCACCUCGAUGUCGGCUCAUCGCAUCCUGGGGCGGUAGUACGUCCCAAGGGUUGGGCUGUUCGCCCAUGAAAGCGGUACGCGAGCUGGGUUCAGAACGUCGUGAGACAGUUCGGUCCAUAUCCGGUGUAGGCGUUAGAAUAUUGAGAGGAGCCUUCUUUAGUACGAGAGGACCGAGAAGGACACACCGCUGGUGUACCAGUUAUCGUGCCAACGGUAAACGCUGGGUAGCUAUGUGUGGAGUGGAUAACCGCUGAAAGCAUCUAAGUGGGAAGCCCACCUCAAGAUGAGUGCUCUCACAGGGUUAACCUGGUAAGGUCACGGGAAGACCACCCGUUAAUAGGCACUAGGUGGAAGUCCAGUAAUGGAUGGAGCC